GACAGAGGGUGCAAACGUUGUUCGGAAUUACUGGGCGUAAAGCGCGUGUAGGCGGCCCUGCAAGUCGGGUGUGAAAUCCCACGGCUUAACCGUGGAAGUGCAUUCGAAACUGCAGGGCUAGAGUCCUGGAGAGGAAGGUGGAAUGCUUGGUGUAGAGGUGAAAUUCGUAGAUAUCAAGCGGAACACCGGUGGCGAAGGCGGCCUUCUGGACAGUGACUGACGCUGAGACGCGAAAGCGUGGGGAGCAAACAGG
rnacentral:rRNA from 1 species